rnacentral:rRNA from 1 species
UGGGGAAUAUUGGACAAUGGGGGAAACCCUGAUCCAGCAAUACCGCGUGUGUGAAGAAGGCCUGAGGGUUGUAAAGCACUUUCAGUAGGGAGGAGGGUUGAUAGUUUAAGAGAUAAUUGACUGGACGUUACCUACAGAAGAAGCACCGGCUAACUCCGUGCCAGCAGCCGCGGUAAUACGGAGGGUGCAAGCGUUAAUCGGAAUUACUGGGCGUAAAGCGUGCGUAGGUGGUUUAAUUAGUUAUCUGUGAAAUCCCUGGGCUCAACCUGGGCAGGUCAGAUAAAACUGUUAGACUCGAGUAUGGGAGAGGGUAGUGGAAUUUCCGGUGUAGCGGUGAAAUGCGUAGAGAUCGGAAGGAACACCAGUGGCGAAGGCGGCUACCUGGCCUAAUACUGACACU